GCAGUAGCCGCGGUAAUACGUAGGGUGCGAGCGUUAAUCGGAAUUACUGGGCGUAAAGCGUGCGCAGGCGGUUUUGUAAGACAGAGGUGAAAUCCCCGGGCUCAACCUGGGAACUGCCUUUGUGACUGCAAGGCUAGAGUACGGCAGAGGGGGAUGGAAUUCCGCGUGUAGCAGUGAAAUGCGUAGAUAUGCGGAGGAACACCGAUGGCGAAGGCAAUCCCCUGGGCCUGUACUGACGCUCAUGCACGAAAGCGUGGGGAGCAAACAGGAUUAGAUACCCCUGUAGUCCCUGUCUCUUAUAC
rnacentral:rRNA from 1 species